rnacentral:rRNA from 1 species
AUUGAACGCUGGCGGCAGGCCUAACACAUGCAAGUCGAACGAGUGGCGGACGGGUGAGUAAUGUCUGGAAAACUGCCUGAUGGAGGGGGAUAACUACUGGAAACGGUAGCUAAUACCGCAUACCAUCAGAUGUGCCUAGAUGGGAUUGUCGUGUUGGUGGGGUAACGGCUCACCAAGGCGACGAUCCCUAGCUGGUCUGAGAGGAUGACCAGCAAAACUGCACCUGAGACACGGUCCAGACUCCUACGGGAGGCAGCAGUGGGGAAUAUUGCACAAUGGGCGCAAGCCUGAGGGAGCCAUGCCGCGUGUAUGAAGAAGUCCUUCGGGUUGUAAAGUACUUUCAGCGGGGAGGCGUUACCCGCAGAAGAAGCACCGGCUAACUCCGUGCCAGCAGCCGCGGUAAUUC